UAAUUGGUGUUCUGCUUCAAA
rnacentral:piRNA from 1 species